CCAAUAGCGUAUAUUAAAGUUGUUGCAGUUAAAAAGCUCGUAGUUGAAUUUCGGAAUCAGUACGCUGGUCGUGCCUUCGGUAUGUACUGGUGUCACUGAUUCCUCCCUUCUGACGAACCGUCAUGCUAUUAAUUUAGUGUGGCGGGGAAUCAGGACUGUUACUUUGAAAAAAUUAGAGUGUUUAAAGCAGGCUCACGCUUGAAUACAUUAGCAUGGAAUAAUGAAAUAGGACGUUGAUCUUAUUUUGUUGGUUUCUAGGAUUGACGUAAUGAUUAAUAGGGAUAGUUGGGGGCAUUAGUAUUCAAUUGUCAGGGGUGAAAUUCUUGGAUUUAUUGAAGACUAACUACUGCGAAAGCAUUUGCCAAGGAUGUUUUCAUUAAUCAAGAACGAAAGUUAGGGGAUCGAAGACGAUCAGAUACCGCCGUAGUCUUUACCAUAAACUAUGCCGACUAGGGAUCGGAUGAAGUUAAUUUUUUUAAUGACUCAUUCGGCGCCUUACG
rnacentral:rRNA from 1 species